rnacentral:tRNA from 1 species
GGUGCGGUAGCACAGGGUUAGAGCAUCCGACUCAUAAUCGGCAGGUCGAAGGUUCGAGUCCUUCCAGGCCCACCA